AUCUACUCAUGCAGAAAAACUGCAAAGGCCGACAAUUCCGAUAACGAAGUGCCGUAGCCUUCCCGAAAAGGUUGUGGUAUGUGUGCAGUUUAGUAUUUGUGUAUUGAAAUAUGAAUGAUAUAAUAUAUUCGAAUACAUGUAUGUUUGUGUGUUCUAAGAGCAAAUAUUUUCCUUUUAGACAUGUCUUCCACCAAGUGAAGUUAAACUGGAAAUCAUUACAGCUCACAUUGACGGAUAAAAUCAUCACUUUUAUUUACGGAAUACGUCCCGUCUCAUACGGCUGAAGGCUGGGCAUUCGCAUAGACAACGUUCCAGCGUCUCAUCAUCCUCCGCGCAUGUUCUGAACUCCGCCUAAUCCACCUACCCUGCCCUGUGAUGAGCCCUACAAUGUUAUAUGCUUCCUUUUGCCUAGAAGUAGGAGCUUAUUGGGCUGUUCACUAUCAACACUACCCCAAAGUAAAUUUGUGGUAUGCCCUGUGUUGCUUGUGUUCCAAGACCUGAGGUGUUUCUCUAGAUUCCAUUCUUUCAAACAACUUUUGAAAACGCUGAAUGGUCUGGGGCAGGGUAGGAAAAUUGUAUCUCCAGCUGCCCCCGAGCGGGCUAGCUCGUCUGCCUUUGCAUUUCCUUCUAUUCCAUGUUACCGGGUAUCCAGAGGAUGUUAACAGAGUUAUCUACUGAGAGUCUAAUUAUUGCCUGCUUGCAUAACCUAACGUGGGGAGACUUGGUACUGGCCCUACGGAUAGUCUUAAUUGCCGCUUCGCUAUCCACUAGAAGGUUUAUGGACUUGCUGGUUAGAGCAGAGGCAUACUUGGCACCUUCUGUUAUGCCCAUAAUUUCGGCCAGAUAGACUGAAUUUUAGUCAUUUUGUUUGAAGCUACAUACCUUCUGUGUAGGGAUUACUACAUAAGAGGCCCGCUCCUCUUCCUAUUUUUCCCUUUGACCCGUCGGUGAAUAUGUAGAUUUCGCCCUUGAAGCUGUCAAUCACAGAACCAAUGGUCCUUUCUUCUCUAUUGGGGAAUGAAAACAUUGUGUUUACUUCCUCAUGGGUCUACCUGUCUCGGUCGCUUUUCCAAUUUAUCCCGUGUUAAGUAUGAUACCAUGACGUUGUUGUCGCCGAGUGUAACUCCAAUGGUCUAAAAUCAUGAGACGGCUGGCCGUAAGCAUUGCCUAAUACUUCACUUGUAUAUGUAUUGGCCGGAUGUCAAGGAUAGCCUUAGUUGACAUAAUUUUCUUUGCGCCCGUAAUCCCUAGCAAGCAGGCCCGUUGCACCUGUUCCAGGGGUUUAAUACGACACUUUUCCGAUAAUGCCAUUCACCAUACCACCGCAUCAUAUGUUAGUAUGGGGUGGAUGACACUUAUGACACAAUAGACCAUAUGGGGUCGUAAAACCUACUUUGGGCCAAUGCCUCUUCUGCAGGGCUUCGAAGGGCUUUGGAAGGCCUGCUCUCAAUGUGCUCUCUCCAGCUUAGUUUUUUAUCUGGAAUAACUCCGAAAUAUUUGACGGAGCUCGAGAAUACAAUAAUUCUACUUAUUAAAGAGUGGAGAUUGAAUUUCGAAAUUUUUGUCCCUCUUGUGUUUAAGGAUUUCACAGCUUAUAUGAAGUAUUAUUAGAGGCAUUCAGACAACUUUGUUCAUUCCUUAGUCGUUAUUUUUUUACGUCCCAGUAACGAAGUGCCAGCCUGGCAAGCUUGAUAAUUUUUUCGUUACUUGGCAACAUCAAAUUAGAUGUUUGUUUUGCGUCGUUGCCUAAAAAGUUCAUUUGAUUCAUUGCGAAAAAUACAUUUACAAAUAAUUUUUAUCAAAUUUUUUAAAAGUAUUUAAUAAAAUUGAAACAGCUAUUUUGGAGCAAAAUAUACCACACUACUGAGAUAGAGCAAAAAUAAUGUUUACACACCCAUGUAAAUAAUUCUCAAACCUUUAUCCACUUCUCGACACGGAUGGAAUUUAACCUCAAAAUAAAUAUUCGGGGUUCAUGCUAGGUAAGCUGAAAAGUUCGAAUGAUUUUUAUGCGAACAUCUAUUAAAUAUAUGUACAUAUUUCGUGCGAGCUCACAAACGAGCGAAUACUCCGUGUAUUGGGUAAAAUUUCAUGAAUUAAACCAAAUUCGAGUUGGUUUCGCAUUCAUCGUAUACUCCAUAUCUGGCCAUCAGAAAUAGAAAAAAAUUAGCGGCGAUGAACGGGUAACUUCGAGACUGAUUGUCUAUUUUAAGUAACCGGAUGAAUAGAGUCAGCCUAAUUUAAUUUCGGGAUUAAAAAAAGUCAUUCGGUGCCAAGUCAGGACUAUACGAUGGAUAAGUUAUCAAAUCGAUAUUUCGAGCGCUCAAAAAUGCAGUUGUUUCAGUCUAUAUGUGAGGGCACGUAUUGCCAUGGUGAAAAGUGAUCCGUCUUCGGCGGUUGGUGUUCUGAUUUUUGGAAAGACAACUGGCAAACAAAUGGUAAUGUGCUUCGCGGGUGAACAACUUUUGUUGGAUUCGGCUUACCUGGAAACACCGAUAAAAUCGAAUUCUGCUUAAUAUCGCGCUCAUACGCGUAAGUCCAUGAUUCAUCACCUGUCACGAUAUCAUAGACGUAUUUAUUGAGUUUGGACGACCUUCACGAACCUUGCCUUGGAGUAAUCUACGAUUUCGAUUGAAUUCACCUUAACAUCGAUAAACACUGGUCCUUAAUGAAGCUUCAUCGCCAAAAAUUUAAUAAAGUUCAUCGACGUUGAGUUAAUCUACGUCAAAAAUUGUAAAAAAUAAUCAUGCUAAAUGUUCGCGAUUUAAAUCCAUUUUUUGGACGAGAUGACUGUAAGCAACACAAAUAGCACUUGUAUGUCAAAAUGUUCUGAGUAUGUAUAACAUCAAAAAUGUCAAACUUUACGAUAAAGUUGUGAGCUGUCACAUUGCAUAGUAUACCUGAGAGUUUUACUAAUAUUUUGGCUAUUUGUUCUAGGUUUUAUUUCCUUAACUUUAUCGGUGCUUGAUUU